AUCUCAGAGAUUGGCUUUGAUGGAAACGCUUCUUCUCCAUCGCUUAUUUUAAACCGUUUAAGAAUUCUGGGAAUUGGGCUCUGCGUCGUCUCCUUCAAUUUCCUUGGACAUUGUUCCCAAAACGGACUACGGAGGACUCAGGAGUGAGGAGUGACGAGUGAGGACUGAUCUGAGCUUUCAGUAUUGAUAAGAGAAAUCAGGACACAAUCGUCGCCUACGUGCUUGCUUAAGAUCAAGGAGAUCAUCAUCAUUCAAGGAAGGUAGAGACCAUGUACAACUAAUUCCAUUGAAUGACACCAUUCCAUGAGCCAACGUCCAACACGAUGAUGAAGAAGAAGAACACCUCCAGGGACCUGAGACGAAGUGGAAUUGAUAAUGGUGCUGGCUGUUCCUGUUCUCCUAGUGUCACCACAUUCCUAUAGGCUGACAUCCUUGUUCGUGGUUUUGCUGGUUUGCCUUGAAGGUCUUAGACCAAGUCUUCCCAAAGGUUCCGAGCAACGCUGCAGUCAAGCAAUGGCCAAGGAGAUGGCCUUGUUAUCCUUCAAUCGGGCUCUUAACCAGAGGAUAUCCGGUUCUUAGUGUGGGGUUUUACGGCAUCUUUGGCAACUUCUCGUCCAAAGCGUGGGAAUCACAGAUAUGGUGCAAAUGAGGAUGGGAGGACCUUGUUGUUUCCAUGGCGGAAACGAGUGUCACAAACAUAGCUGCUAGCUAGCUCUACCAAUCCAUGAGUGGGACCAUGAGCAACGUCUAAGAAGAAGAAGAAGAAGAACCCCUCAAGGAAGAUCAUCAUUCAAGACUAGAGACCAUGUUCAACUUCCAUGAAUGGGACCAUGAGCAAACGUCCAAGAAGAAGAAGAAGAACCCUCAAGGAUAAAGUGCCGUGUUAGAAACAGUAGCUACAACACAAAUUAAGCCUCAGGAGAUAACAAGUUAAUCCUACCGAAGCAAGCACAGAGCUCUUAUCUGAUUUGAUCGAGCAAGUAAAGAUCGCCGGAGAUACUUUCAAGAACUAAAACUGAUUCUAUUGGAUUGAUGGUGUUUGACCAAUUACAGGUAUACAGACCAUGGCAAGUUUCGUCAAGAACCACCCAUGGCCUAACGUUGAUGCUCAUAGCGUAGUGCUGCUGAACUAUUAUCGUCUGACCGAAAAAAAGAUUUAGAUACUACUACACCGUGCUUUUUGGCUGUCUCAAGGAAUCUCGUCAUCUGGUCACAGCUGAUAUGGGACUGCCGCUAGAGCGGCCAAAGAGUGUAAACAUGUCCUCCCAAAGGUGAAACUUUGCAACUUCGUGCGGCGCUUAAGCUCAGAGUGAGUCUGUCCCAGCUCUUGAAAAAUAUUGGCCUUGGGAGUUCCAGCCCAACAAAUUUGAGAGAUGACAGAGAGAGAUCGUUCUAAUGGCGACAAGAGAGCAACAUGAUGAUGGUUCGAAUCUACUACUCAACCAGUCCAUGAAUUGUGAGUCGAAUUUGCUUUCUAAACAAGUCAGAGAGAGAGAGUUUUGUUCUGUGAAACAGGUGGGCGUUGAUUGAUUUAUUUGACUCUCUCUCUCUCUCUCGUUGGUGAUUCAGAACACUAUCGUCGCCAACGUGCUUGCUUAAGGUCAAGGAGAUCAUCAUUGAAGGAGGUAGAGAGCAUGUACAACGUAUUCCAUAAAUGACACCAUUCUAUGAGCCAACGUCCAAGAAGCAGAAGAAGAAGAACACCUCCAGGGACCUGAGACGAAGUGGAAUUGAUAAUGAUGCUGGUUGUUCCUGUUCGCGUAGUGUCACCACAUAUAGGCUGACAUCCUUGCUCGUGGUUAUGCUGGUUUGCCUUGAAGGUCUUAGACCAAGUCCUCAAAGCUACACUCUUCUUAUUGAUGUUGAUGGUUUUAUUUGAUGGAUCUUUUUGGUCUUCUCUUGGCUACAUCUUCAGAUCAUGAGGAACCAGGAUUACUGUGAGGGAGGUUCGAAGAGAAAGAAUAAACAUUGUGGGAGUGCGUUUGAUUUCUGAGUUCAACUUUCAGGUUACCUCACAUCUAUACACCUUUUAGCAUAUCAGUUGUUUUAUUUAAUAUUGGCUAGUGUUGGUUCUUUGUUUCUUUUGUUAUUGAACUUUUCAGUUAACAGUAAUGUCGCUGAUCUUCCUAGUGAUGUUGGCAUGUAUGUUUUAACUUUUAAGCCUAAGACCCUAUAUUUUAGUGGAGGAGGAUGUUUUGAUCGGCUGGUGAUGGUUUUGAUGGAUCGUUUUGUCUCUGCGCUACAUCUUCAGGCUUUUGAUGAUGCUUUUAUUGAUGAGAGUGAUGGCUUUGAUGGACACGCUUCUUCUCUGUGCUACUUCUUCAAAGGGUGUUUUGGAAGCCAGUUAUGAUAUGAUCAUGGCGUAUUCUUCUCCAUGUUGCCACGUCUUCAGCCACGUUCUCACAGAUUCGUGGAGGCUUUGAUCGGUGAUGGCUUUGACUGAUCGUUGUCACUCUUAUUCAUGUUAUUCUUCUAGGAUUGUGGAGGAAAGAUGCUUUGAUCGGUUGGUGAUGGUUUUGAUGGAUCGUUUUUGUCUUCUUUGCGCUACAUCUUUCAGAUCAUAAGGCACCAGGUGGGAGGUUCGAAGAGAAAAAAAACAUUGUGGGGAGUGCGUAUGAUCAGGUUUUGGAUGAUACUUUUUUCAAUGAGAGUGAUGGCGUUGAUGGACACGCUUCUUCUCUGUGCUACGCCUUUAAGUGUUUUUUUCUUCCUCUUCACACGUCUUUUACUUCUUCUUUUUUGUUUUGUUUUGUUUUGUUCCUUACGGUUCUUUCUUCGUUUUGCAAGUCUUUUGGAAGCAAACCAUGAUCCAGUCAUCAGUAUUCUAAUCUAUGUUAUUGUCUUCAAGCGUCCUCAUGGGUUCCUUGCUCCAAUCAUCACUCUCUUACUCAUGUUGCUCUUCUAGAGUUUGGUUUCUAAAUUGAUUAUUCAAGGUUUUUUAUGUUCAUGCGACUUUUAACUCAACUUGGCUCUGUUAAUUUUAGAUUGUGGAGGAGGAUGCUUUUAUCGGUUGGUGACAGUUUUGAUGGCUUGUAUUUGUCCUCUCUGCGUCGCCUACGUGCUUAAAAAGGGUAAAGUUGGUUCUUCUCAUUGAGGGAGACACUGGUUCCGGUAAGACUACACAAUUACCACAAUAUCUCCAUGGAGCUGGUUUGAAAGGAAAGAGCAAAGAGCAAGUUG